UUCAAAAUAAAGCAGCAUCCCCAGUAGAAUCAUUCGUAUUUCCAUUUUAUAGAUAAAGAUAUUAUAUACAUAUAUAUAUAUAUAUAUAUAUAUAUAUAUAUGCUCAGAGUGAUCUAGGAAUAAAUCCAAAUAUAAUCACAGGGAUUUCAAGACUAGCACACUUUCUAAUUUUUAAAUGGUAAUAAAAGGAACUUUUAAACCAAUAGGACUCCCCAGUUCAGACCUCUAACAGCUAAACCCAGAACUAAUCUCUAUAAUGUAUAGAGCACUGAUCUUGAAGUAGGGAAGUCCUGUGAUCAAAUCUUGUCCCUAGCACAUAGUAGCUGUGUAGCUGCCAUCAAGGAUUUCACUCUUAGUGACCCAGUUUCUAAGAUUCUUUACCAAUCUGUUUUGGCAGAUGUUGUUUCCUCACAAGUAGUUACUGGCAUAUAUGAAAUCUCAGAUUCAUACCCAAAACAGAAACAGAUAAUGUCAUUGAUUUUAGGAUCCAAAGAAUUUAACAUUUUCAUACUUAACACUGCAUCCUCUAACUAAGCGCUUUUGCACUGACUGUUCCCUUUGCCUUUUAUAAUGAUGACUCAGCUCACCUCUCCAAUUUAGAAUGACCAACUUCCUUUAAGUGUCUGAUAAAAUGCAACUUUCUGGGAGACAACCCAGAUCCUCUAACUGCCUUUCCCUCUAUUGUAACACUUACCUACUUUGUAUGUCUGAUGAAUUUACCAAUUUACAUGUCUUAAAUAUGCAUGUUGCAGCUGGGUGGCUCAGUGGAUUGAUACCCAGGCUUAGAGAUGGGAAGUCCUGGGUUCAAAUCUGACCUCAAACCCUGCCUAGGUGUGUGACCCUGGGCAAGUCCCUUAACCCCUAUUGCCUAGCCCUUACCUCUCUUCUUCCUUAGAACCACACAGCAGUGAUUAUAAGAUAGAAGGUAAGGGUUUAAAAAAAAAAGAAUUCAAGCUACCUGAAGCAGAAACUAUUUUUGCUUUUUCUUUGUAUUCCAAACAAUUAGCAUAGUGUCUAGAACAAAGCAACUUUUUUUCCUAAAUGCUUCUUCAUAUGGCUACAGAUUAACUGACCACAGAGGACUUGAUGUAUGUUUAGUCAACUUUUAAAAAAACCCUAAGUUCACAGAUGAGAAUAACUAUAGCAUGUGUUUGUUUUGAAAUAGAAUAACAAAAAGAUUUUUUUUUCAAAAUACAGGUCCUUGAAAACUUACCCUUAAGUAAGAGGUUUCAUUGAGCAAAUCAGAAGAUAAUCUGGCAUCAGUGAAAAAUGAGUUUCAUAUAUUAAAGGGGAGAUCUAGAAGUCAGUCAUAUCCUUAAUAAUUAUGUUUCUGUUAUCCAACAUUUAUUCAGUUUCUAGACAGAUAUGAACUGUCACCCAGACCACAUGGGAUUAGGAAUAGGGAUAGUUCUUGUUUUUUUCUUUUUAAAGGCAAUGAAGCUCCAUCAUUGAUGUAGGUCAGGGUCUUCUGUGCCAAUUACAGUCGCGAGGAAUUAUCUUGAACACUGAGGUUAAGCAACUUGCCUAAGUUCAUGCAGUCCAUAUGUGUUAGAGGCAGAAUUUGAACCGAGAUGGUUUCAGGAAGAGCUAUUGCGUAUAAUGUAGUUCAUAACAUGUUCUUCACAGAUUUGGGGGCAUUUUUUAGCUCCAGAGAUUUGAAGCUGUGAUGAUCAUGAUCCAGCCUCAGCUGUUCUGAAAUUGUCAUACACUUAGUGAAAAUGGAUGGCACCAGGAUGCUAAAGUAAUUCCUAUAGUGUGAACUGCAAGAGGGCAAUUGUAAAUAGAGUAGCCUGAAGAAAUGUUUGAGUAACACA
rnacentral:lncRNA from 1 species